rnacentral:rRNA from 1 species
UACAGAGGGUGCGAGCGUUAAUCGGAAUUACUGGGCGUAAAGCGUGCGUAGACGGUUAUCUAAGUCGGAUGUGAAAGCCCCGGGCUCAACCUGGGAAUUGCAUUCGAGACUGAAUAGCUAGGGUACGGUAGAGGGAAGUGGAAUUUCCGGUGUAGCGGUGAAAUGCGUAGAUAUCGGAAGGAACAUCAGUGGCGAAAGCGUCUUCCUGGACCAGUACCGACGUUCAGGCACGAAAGCGUGGGGAGCAAACAGG